rnacentral:rRNA from 1 species
UACGAAGGGUGCAAGCGUUAUUCGGAAUUACUGGGCGUAAAGGGUGCGUAGGCGGUUGUUUAAGUCUGUCGUGAAAUCCCCGGGCUCAACCUGGGAAUGGCAAUGGAUACUGGCUAGCUAGAGUGUGUCAGAGGAUGGUGGAAUUCCCGGUGUAGCGGUGAAAUGCGUAGAGAUCGGGAGGAACAUCAGUGGCGAAGGCGGCCAUCUGGGACAACACUGACGCUGAAGCACGAAAGCGUGGGGAGCAAACAGG